GCCCUGAUGGCACAGGGGUAAUGCGUGUCACUCGUAGUAUGUUAAUACUUGCGGUGUUAUGACAAGAUCCGCGGUUCGAUUCCGCGUCGGGGCA